GUCAUGUGGCUAGUUUGCCUGCUCCUCUUCCACCAUGGGCAUCUGAAGCUUCCCAUCAUGGCUUCUCUACCCUCCUUUACCCAUUGGAGAAAGGAUCCAGAUGACUGCCACUUAAAGAAACAAAACAAAGAAUGAAAUCAGAAAAUAUAAGGGAGUGCGGCACAGAGGGGACAAGUGAAUUUCCCACGUCUGCACACUGUCUUGUCAAGAAGGCUGCUGAUUCAAGUAUUCUCCUACAUUUUAUGUUGAACAUGAAGGUCUUCUAAAAUCAACUAAGGCGAGUUGUUAUAUAUAAUACACAGAAAACACACAGCUCAUGAGAACUCAAAGAAAACGAGAUGCUAGUUGGAUUUCAUUUUUUAAAAAUAAGCAUGGUCUCUAGAUAAGGAUUUUAAUAGUAAUGCAGGUGGGACCUGGUAAUUUCCACUCUAUUAUUAACUCCCAGAGUGUCCAUGUCAAAUUCUGUUUACUUACUAUCUUUGCUGAAUAUUAUUGUCCUUAGUCAAAAUUUGGGAAACCCUUAGACUUCAGGGGUUGUGACUAUGUUCUUAGGAAUAAGAUGCAAUUGGCUUCCAUAAAUUCCUAAACACACUUUCAAAAGGUGGCCUGAAUUUCUAUCAGCUAGUGCCUUUAUUUGAAAACACUCUAGAGGCUAAUAUCUGAGUUGCUUUAAAAUUAAUGUUUACUUUUUAACUAUUUUAUUCUUAUGUUUGUGAGAAAACUAUUUUAUUUCUAUAAUUACCACUGAUUGGCUAUUGCCAUUACCAUAUUUCACGAUUUGAAUGAAGCUUCCUGUGUUGAAGAGAGUAAUAGACCAUCUUUGAGUCCUCUAUUUUGCAAUUACAGAGUUUAUUAGGAUGGCAUUUUAUAAAAUAUAGAAAUGUCUCUUUUCUAGCCAUUUAGUCAUUUAUUAUACUUACUAUUUAAAAAUGAUGCUCAAAUGUACUUAAUGGAAGAAUGAUUGUCACAGUUAUGUAAUUGUCAAAACAAAACUCUUAAUUACGAAUGAAAAAGUGUGUCACAUUAGAUUGGAUAGAGAGAAAU